rnacentral:tRNA from 1 species
AUUUUUAUAGUUUAAUUUAAAAUAUUAUAUUUUCAUUAUAAAGAUAAUUAAUAUAUUUAAAAAUU